rnacentral:lncRNA from 1 species
CAGACUUUUUCCGACCUCAGAUGAUGCAGUAAGAGGAACAGAUGGUGGCAGCACACCUGCAGCAACCACCCCAUCCAGUCUGAUGAGUUCAAAACAAAGGAAAUAAUAAUGUAUGUAAACCAAAUUUUACCUAAAGUGAAAGAGCUCACCAGAAAUCUUAUCUUUAACCUACGACUGCCGCCCAAUAUCGAGAGAGGGAUAUUUAUAAUCCCAUAUCUCAUACUUCUCUGAUUGAGUAGUCCCCUCCAUCAAUUGGAACAGAGGUGCCAGCAGCCUGAGCCAUUGUCCAAAUUUUAUCCUGCAAUUAAUGUCCAGAUCCUG